CUAGAAUAUUAUUGAGGAAAAAAGAGCUUCUCCCACAGGGACAUGGGAAAGGAAGCAGGGACAUGGGAAAAGUCCAGCUGCUCAGGGUUUGUAAUUGCGAAAGACAGUUUCAUUCCCAUUGAUAACACAACAGACUGCCAGAGGGCUUCACUAAGGUCUUUAACAACAGCAAGUACCCCCUUGGUAUUACCAUACAUACUGAGGAAAUCUUCCUUUUAAGUUUUUCACAGGUUAAUUGAAGUAAUUAUACAUCCAAAGCCAAGCCUAGCCUAAAAGUGUGGAGACAAAGCGCACAUCAUGACCUCGUUGAUUUCCACCACUUUAAUCAUGUGCUUAGCAGUCGCAGCGCUUGAUGGAUCAGAUGCUUUGCUCUGCGACAGGGCCACAUUUGAUUAUGGAGUGCACAAUUACUGUCUACUUGACUACAAGCAACACAUGGCAGCCAGCAACUACCAGGAAGAAUGUCCAUGGCCCAACACUCAACACUACUACUAUUAUUUGGACAACUGUUUCCAACAUAUGGUAGACAUCACAGCAUGCAGUGAGCCUUCUCUGAAGAACAAGAUCUUUUUGGAUCUCCACCGCACAUAUUUUUUUCACUGCCACUUCCUGAAGGACCCUGAUGUGCCUGUGCUGCUGUUGUUUAUGCUGCCCUGCAUCAUCGUUACUUUUGUCUUCUCCUUUCUCUGUAGCUACAUCACCCCCAAGGAAUAAUGCAUCCAUGAUUAACUCACAUUGCUACAAAGACUCUUGUUAGAUUAGGAUUACUAUGAAACAUUCUGAUACAUUUAUGUGACUGACUGACACUCCAAGAUUUGAACACCUACUUAUUAUUAUCUUGUUUUUAGCAGACAAACUGGAAUUAAAUGUAUUUGUAAGAAAAAUGUAUUAGUGUCACUGUUUUAAUCUCAGGUAAAUGUCAGUUCCCAAAUGUAACCUCUUUAUAAGUCAUUUCUGACCAUUAACUUGUUCAUUUUAACUCGCUGAGUUUUGUUGACAAUCAAUUUCUCAUAGUCUCAUAUUGGUCGGUACAAAGGCAUAACCAAGUUGAUUUGUUCACAAGAUGGAUGACUUUUAGGAGUGCCAAUCUUAUUCAUUAGCACACUGCAGUUUUGAAAAUUGUCAUUAAAUUGUAAUAGUACCACCUGUAAUGGGACAUUCGUACAAAGGACCAGUACCAAACCACAGAGAGUAUGUUUGCUUUGCACAACCCUCCACAUUAAGUAUUUUGAGGACUUAAUAGGUUAAUUUUUUUGUUACUCCUAUAAUAGAAAGAGCAAUUUUACAACACAAUAGGCUUAAAACAAUGUAUGUUGAAACACAUCAUAAAUAUUUAUUUUGAGACAAAAAAAUAACAAUUUGUUUAACAGUGGUUUGAAAACAUUUUUUUUUUUUUUUUUACAGUAAUAGUAGUUUCUACUGCUAUUAAAAUAUCCACAUAACAUCAUUAUUUCUUUCAGUAUUGCUAAAGCUAAAGUAAUACAUUACUUAUCAUAAGAACUUGUUUGCCUUUUUUUUUGACAAACUAUACCUCUUACCAUAGUUACAACAAGGCAACACUGAGUUAUAAAAGUGGUCUGUUUGGGACUGACAACAUUUAGACAUGAUUUAAGGAUAACAUGACACAUGGGUGCUGAAUGUAUGGAAAGUAAACAUUUAUACAUUAUAUGCUCUACAGUUGAAAACAAUGGAAACUAGCAGGUGAUAUUUAUAGGUUCGACAAUUUUACAGUUAAGUCAAUUUGCCAACAACCAGAAUAUUACAUUGGUGUGCGGUCAUUGUACUUUCAUAGGAAAAGCAUUAAUUGUCUUUGCUGAGAGCAGUCUAUUAUAUUGACCAGAUCUCAAUGAUCUGAUCAUUAAUUCAGUAACAUCUGGUUGAGUAAACCAAGCUGAAUGGAGCAUUUGAAUGUCUGGUGUCUAUAAGGGUUGCAAUAAAUAAAUAUUAUAAUAAAUAU